AGCGAACGCUGGCGGCAGGCUUAACACAUGCAAGUCGAGCGGACGUAGCAAUACGUCAGCGGCAGACGGGUGAGUAACGCGUGGGAACGUACCUUUUGGUUCGGAACAACACAGGGAAACUUGUGCUAAUACCGAAUAAGCCCUUACGGGGAAAGAUUUAUCGCCGAAAGAUCGGCCCGCGUCUGAUUAGCUAGUUGGUGGGGUAACGGCCCACCAAGGCGACGAUCAGUAGCUGGUCUGAGAGGAUGAUCAGCCACAUUGGGACUGAGACACGGCCCAAACUCCUACGGGGGGCAGCAGUGGGGAAUAUUGGACAAUGGGCGCAAGCCUGAUCCAGCCAUGCCGCGUGAGUGAUGAAGGCCCUAGGGUUGUAAAGCUCUUUUGUGCGGGAAGAUAAUGACGGUACCGCAAGAAUAAGCCCCGGCAAACUUCGUGCCAGCAGCCGCCGUAAUAC
rnacentral:rRNA from 1 species